GACAGAGGAGGCGAGCGGUAUCCGGAGUUAUUGGGCGUAAAGGGUAUGUAGGCGGCUGGUCAAGUCUGGGGUUAAAGACCACAGCUUAACUGUGGGGGGGCCUUGGAAACUGACCGGCUGGAGUGGGGCAGGGGUUGCGGGAAUUCCCGGUGUAGCGGUGAAAUGCGUAGAUAUCGGGAAGAACACCUGAGGCGAAAGCGCGCAACUGGGCCCUAACUGACGCUGAGGUACGAAAGCUAGUGGAGCGAAGGGG
rnacentral:rRNA from 1 species